ACCUCAACCUGGAAGGCAUUGCAGUGGGUGCAAGGCAGGACAAGCCCACGGAGCAAGCACUUCGGGUCGGCACUCACCUGCCCAGGAACUGAGAGAUACAAAAAAUUAGCCGGACGUCCUGGCGUGUGCCUGUAAUCCCAGCUACUCAGAAGGCUAAGGCAAGAGAAUCGCUUGAACCUGGGAGGCGGAGGUUGCAGUGAGCCAAGAUAGCGCCAUGGCACUCCAGCUUGGGCAAGAAGAGAAAAACUCCAUCUCCAAAAAAAAAAAAAAGAAAAGAAAAGAAAAAAAAAAGAUCUGCAUCCUUUGAGCUCACACCAAUGGAUGAGAAAGAAGCAGGUGAAGGAAUUUAUUGUUAUAUUAUAUUAAAUAAAUAAUAAUAGUAACAGCCCUUAUGCCACUCUCAAGGAGCAUUCUCGUGUGCAUAGUUGCUUCUGUUGAGCCCGCUGGAAUAUCUGCUUCUGCAAUGAGGAUGUUGGGCCCUGGGCAACCUGAGAACCUACCCAGUGCUGGCACACAGGAGCACAGAGAGAGCUGGGACAGACUGUCUGGUGGAAUCAGCCCUCGGUGGACACCCUCGCCAGAGUGCAGCGUUACAGGCACUAUUAUCUGCAUGUCUCUAGACAACAUAAUAGACAGACUCAGGGUUCAAAGCUUAGAACCAAUGAUGCCUCCUUCUGGAAGCCCUCUCCUUCCAAUGGUUGGAAUGAGUCCCCUCUGCCCUGUGUUUCCAUGACCAUGCUAUGGCCUUUAUCAUUCCAUUCACCAUAGCAGUCCCCUUUCAUGAAUGACAGGCACUAUGUCAGUGGCCUCAGUGAAUCUCCCCAUGGGAGAGAUGAGGGGCCACAAGAGGGCUGGGGCAGAGAAGCAUCAUCACCUUAGUGGUUAACAGGAUGCAGGGGAGCAGGGAUGGAUGUAGGCAGACAGGUCAGGAAGCCAUGGCAGUGAUGCCAGUGAGAGCUGAUGGUGGCAGUGAAGGCAGGAAGAACUAGUUGGAUUAUAGAUUUUUUUUGAGGUUAAACUGACAAGAUGUCCUUGUGGAUUGAAGGUAAAAUACCUGAGAAAUGAAGGAGAUGAGAAUGACCCCACGGUUUUUAGCCAGAGUAACUGCAAAGUUAGAGAACCCAAAUACAAAGAUCAGGAAAAUUGUGGAAGAGCUGGUUUUGGAGAAAAAAUAAGGAGGCCAGUUUGGGACGAGUUGAAUUUGAGACACCUGCUAGAUAUCACACCUGCAGUUGGCUAUGGGAAGAUGUAAAGGUGGGAGUUAUCAGUGUAUAGGUGGGGAAAUAAAGCUCCGAGCUUAGAUGAGAUAACCAAGGAGUAAGUGUAACUGAUAAAAGAAGAGGACCAAGGAACUGACCCCUGGGCUUGACAAGGGUCGGCUGAGCAUUUACACCACACCCAGCUCUGUGCUAGCAGCCCUGGGAGGCGGUGGAUCCGAAGGACACCCAGUUUCUGUCCUCAAGGAACUCAAGAGCCUGUAGGGAAGGUGGAGCGUGCGUCUCAUUCACAGACCCGGGGAGCUGUGCCACAUGGAAAAAGCUCUGAACCUGAGCCCAGCACCCAGGGCUGAACUGCCCCCACCACCCACUGGCCAUGCCUGUGACUAUCUCUGAGCCUGAGUUUCCUCCUUCGUAAAAUGGAGAUAAUAAUAUAUCCUGGCAAAGGAGUUGCUUAGAGGAUCAGAGAAGGCAUGUGCCUAGCACAAAGGAGGCGUCUGGCAACCUGUACAGCCUGUGCUUGUUAGUAUCUGCCGGCAUGCUCUCCACACCCUCAGCUGGGGGGCCCAUCUUCACACAUAGUAGCAGUGGGGUUUCCAGAAGCACCAACCCCAUGAAUGGGCCUGGGGACUCCCCUUGUCCACGGCCCAGCCUCCCUCAUGGCUGCCACUACCCCAUGUGGGCUGGGGACGUUGGUGGCGAGGUCAAGGCCACUCUGUCCCUUGGAGUAAUUGAAGAUGACAACAUUAUUUUGUGUCUCACAGAGACUGGUAGAGAUCAAAGGCAGCAAGAAGGAGCUGCUGGGACAGGCAGGAAUUCCCUGGCAAAGGCCGCCAAUUAUUGGAAAUUGGCUGUAGUUACAGCUAUUACCAUUAAGGGCUGCCUGGCUGCCCUACGCUGCUGGAGAGGCGCGUUCUGACAGAGGGUGUGAAAGUGGCCACAGCAGGGUUGGGGGCAAAGAGAAUUCCAUGGGUUUGCACCUACCACGACUCAGACUUCUCUGUGGAUUGCUGUCCCAGAGACAGGCAAAGGCGAGUCUUGGAAUAUUCUCUGGACAAAUAGGAAGAGGCGUCCUGGAGAGAUAUGUGGGGAGAGAAAGGGGGCUGUAGAGCCCAGCAGGGAGAAAAGCCAUGGGCUCAUGAGGUCCAGGGAAGAAGAGCUCCAGCAGAAGGGAGAAGAGCACAGACCAGCAGGGAGAAGAGCCAUGGGCUCAUGGGCUCCAGAGACCAGCAGGGAGGAGGGCUGUGGGCUCAUGAACUCUAGAGACCAGCAGGGAGAAGAGCCAUGGGCUCAUGAGCUCCUGGGACCAGAAGGGAGAAGAGCAGAGACCAGCAGGGAGGAGGGCCAUGGGCUCAUGAGCUCUAGAGACCAGCAGGGCGAAGAGCAGAGACCAGCAGGGAGGAGGACCGUGGGCUCAUAGGAUCCAGAGACCAGCAGGGAGAAGAGUCAUGGGCUCAUGGGCUCCAGAGACCAGGAGGGAGGAGGGCUGUGAGCUCAUGGGCUCCAGAGACCAGCAGGGAGAAGAACCAUAGGCUUAUAAGCUCCAGAGUCCAGGGGAGAGAAGAGCCAUGGGCUCAUGAGCUCUACAGACCAGCAGGGGGAAGAGUCGUGGGCUCAUGACCUCUAGAGACCAGAAGGGGCAAGAGCCUUGGGCUCAUGGGCUCUGGCUCAUGUUAGCUGAAGCUGUGCCAUGGUAGGCAUGGGCAUCAACGCUCUACUCCUCGAUCCUGACCAGAGAGGCACAGCUGUAAACAGUGUGCCAAGGUUAGCUCUCACUUUGGGCAUGAGAACAAAGCAAGGCACCUUGGCAGGAGGCAAGACCCUGAGCCAAGCUGAAGGGCCUUGCUGGUGUUUGAAGCCCACUUACUGCCCUGUCCUGGCAGCAACCUAGAAGAGUGGGUCCCAAGGAAGAGGGCAGCCAGUGACUCCCAGAGCAACCCAGGGUGCAGAUGAGAAUUCCAGCAGGUACCAGGGAGGAGGGGAGGGCAUGGCAAAGGAGCAAGCUAUUCUUUCAAUAACUUCAAUAACCUCAGGGAUCUUAUCUCUGUCUCCUUCGCUUACGAGCUGUGUGAACUUAAGCAAGUUACUUAGCCUCUCUGAGCCUCAGAUUCCACAUCUGAAAAGUGAGGAAAUCAUACAAACUAGAAUCAUACAAGAUGGCACGGUAAAAUAAGUCAUGAAAUUAUGGUUGCCAUUAGUGAAAGGUCCAAGGCUAACCACUUGCUCAGUAAUCUGAGAGGGGCCCUUUCUUUUCAAAGUGUCAGUAAAAAAAAGUAUAGCCAUCAAUCACUGGGGGUCUAGUGCAUCAUCCUGAGAUGGUGUCACCUCACCCUCAUAGAACGUCAAUACUGCAGCAUUAUUAAGCAAAAUGAGGGAGGCUGUUUCAGGAAGGCCUCCAUUUUUGCUUUAAAAAAUACAUGAUGAACUAAGGGCUUGGGUAGCAAAGAAGCUCACUGACAGGAACAAUAUAGAUGUCUCAUUAAUUAUGUCAGAAGCAGGUGUGUGGCCACACAUGGCUUUCAGGCUCCUGUCAUCUGCUUCCGUGGAUGCCUUCAAAGCUCUCCUCCAGCAUGUUGGCCUCCAUGCAGGCUCCAUGACCAUGAGGCCAUGCCAUGUGUCUUUCCAUCACCAGGUCUUUGAUGAUAAUCUGCCCCCUGACCCAUCUCAGAAAGCUCUCCCUAUGGCAGGACCACCCCAAGGCCAGCCAUGUGGCAUGAUGGAGAGAGCACUGGCUUGAGAGCCUGGUGACGGAGGGCUUCCUCUGACUAUGCCACUCAUGGGCUGGAUGACCUGGAGGAGUCACUUCCUGUGUCAGGCAGAGUUUGAGGGAUGCAAGCAACAGAAACCAAUCUGGCUGUAACCUACAUGGGAAAGGGCAGACCCAAGAGGGUCUCAGAAUUUAAAGGAAAGCAAAGGACCAGACUCUGAAGGCAGAAUAAGGCUGUCUGGGGGUGGGGUGGGGCUGGGAUCCAAGGAGUCCAAGAAGCAGGGUCCCACAAGAGCGUCUCCUCAGGACACGACCCCACCCUCCUCCUGGGGCAAAUCAGCUUCAGCCAUUUCUAAUCUUCUGUCCUUAUGCUUGAAACAGAAACUCCAGAGACUGAGAGAGAUGGGGAGAGCUAGAGGAGGUGGGCACCUUGACUGAUAAUCCCACCAGUCAGCCCGUCACAGAGAAGAGGGAGUUCUCCCAAAGAAGUCAGGGCACCAUGAUCAGAAGGAAUGGGAAUCAACGUUGGGCAGGGAAAAAUUAACUCAUCUACACUUUCCUCUUCUGGAGGCUGUUUUCUCAUCUGUGGAAUGGAGACAGUGACACCUUAAAGGAGUGGUGUAGAUUUGGUGCAUAUCGUGGCAUAGAUGAACAGCAGUUGUUGCUAUUAGUGAUAGCACACAGGGCAUCGAGCAAUAUUGAGAGCAUUCCUUAUGUUGAUGACUGUUACGCUAGUUGUAUUGUCAUGCAGUUAGGACUGAAUAAAGACUAGAUGUUAUUGGCCA